rnacentral:rRNA from 1 species
GCUUUACCAUGCAGUCGACGGCAGCGCGAAAGAGCUUGCUCUUUUUGGCGGCGAGUGGCGAACGGGUGAGUAAUAUAUCGGAACGUGCCCAGUAGCGGGGGAUAACUACGCGAAAGCGUGGCUAAUACCGCAUACGCCCUACGGGGGAUAGGGGGGGAUCUUCGGACCUCUCACUAUUGGAGCGGCCGAUAUCAGAUUAGCUAGUUGGUGGGGUAAAGGCCUACCAAGGCAACGAUCUGUAGCUGGUUUGAGAGGACGACCAGCCACACUGGGACUGAGACACGGCCCAGACUCCUACGGGAGGCAGCAGUGGGGAAAUUUGGACAAUGGGGGCAACCCCUGAUCCAGCCAUCCCGCGUGUGCGAUGAAGGCCCUUCCGGUUGUAAG